CUGCCGGUGACAAACCGGAGGAAGGUGGGGAUGACGUCAAGUCAUCAUGGCCCUUACGGCCAGGGCUACACACGUGCUACAAUGGUCGGUACAAAGGGUUGCCAAGCCGCGAGGUGGAGCUAAUCCCAUAAAACCGAUCGUAGUCCGGAUCGCAGUCUGCAACUCGACUGCGUGAAGUCGGAAUCGCUAGUAAUCGUGAAUCAGAAUGUCACGGUGAAUACGUUCCCGGGCCUUGUACACACCGCCCGUCACACCAUGGGAGUGGGUUGCUCCAGAAGUAGCUAGUCUAACCGCAAGGGGGACGGUUACCACGGAGUGAUUCAUGACUGGGGUGAAGUCGUAACAAGGUAGCCGUAGGGGAACCUGCGGCUGGAUCACCUCCUUA
rnacentral:rRNA from 1 species